CAGCCGCCGCGGUAAAACGGAGGGUGCAAGCGUUAAUCGGAAUUACUGGGCGUAAAGCGUGCGUAGGCGGUUCGUUAAGUCUGUUGUGAAAGCCCCGGGCUCAACCUGGGAAUGGCAAUGGAUACUGGCGAGCUAGAGUGUGUCAGAGGAUGGUGGAAUUCCCGGUGUAGCGGUGAAAUGCGUAGAGAUCGGGAGGAACAUCAGUGGCGAAGGCGGCCAUCUGGGACAACACUGACGCUGAAGCACGAAAGCGUGGGGAGCAAACAGGAUUAGAUACCCGCGUAGUCCCUGUCUCUUAUAC
rnacentral:rRNA from 1 species